UGUCGUGGACGUAGCGAUUUCGAAACAACGUCAAUAGUAACACUUAAACAAAAACAUCCCUCAAAACCGGAUACGAAUUUCUUCAAAAUACUCCCUGACCCGGCGGAGGGAUAUCGGCAUUUAGUAAAUAAAAUAAUGGCGGGCGGGGCGGAAAAUAUGGCGCUCGGAAGGCAGACGGGCUGGAAGGGAGCGCGUCGAGUACGGCCAAUAGAUCUGAUGACGUAACCAUGUUGCUCAGCAGAUGCACGGUGUCAGGCUGCCUCCCAUCAGGAUGCAACCUUCGGAUUGAAGCGAGCUGCUACCCGCAGACCUGCUCACGUUUGUGAAGGGUAUUUUCGUCAUCGUGAGAAACUUCCCAUGUCAUUUCCCCCCCCCAUGAGAAUGGUGGAUGAAGGUGAUUGUGUGGAUCUGAGUGGAGGUGAGCGGCCAUUUAUGGUUGCUAUGGUAAAAAAAAAAAAAAUUACCUUCAGAGACACUCAGGCUGGCAGAUGGAGCGAUUCAAGCGUGC